CGGUAAUUUUCAGAUUUUUUAGUAUUGUGUAGAUAAAUUAUCAUAUAACAUAUAAGUUAAUGUUUCCAACCUCAAAAGUUGCACAUUUUCAUAAAUAACGUUGAUAUAUUCGUCACACGAGCUAAUGGAUAUGCUGUUAGCUCCAGCAACCACAAACCAAUGAGAGCUCUUGUUACUACUUCGUGGACUUCAGUUGGCCAAUCAGAUUCCUCGUACUUCUGGUAAAGCCAUAACACGACGUUAACAAAUGGUUAAGGGAUGAGAGCAAACGAAGGAAAAGAAUUGGAGCAGUCAAUACAUGCACACAUGUCUGUGCAUGGUAGCUGGUGCUGUUUGCAUGUGCAUCUCCCCUGCACACAUUUUAGUGCUUUGCACCGGCAACACUGGAGGCAGUGUCCAUCUUAAGGUCUUGUGAUGUUGGUGGCCAGGGCAUUUUUGGAGUCACUUUACACUUGGUCUCUAUGAUCUCUUUCAGUAGCAUGGCUGAAUGGUACAGGUGUCUGUCUGUGGAGAAGUCAGAGACUGUCACUACACAACCAGGUAUAAUGGUGAAAUGCAGGUAAGCAAGGUGUGUAACAUCAACUUAACUAUAAUUACAAGGACAAUAUAGAUUAAAAAAUGUCAAACCAACCUACGCUUGUUGAUGGCCUAAAUGAGUGGGUUCCAUGCCAUCCUCCUCUCAGUCACUGCUGUCUGAUGAAGGCUGUGCCGGUUCAUCCUGGAUGACCUCUUCAGCAGUUAGGUCCUCUACAUAGACAAAGUCAUUUCUGGCUGCUUUAAGGAAUUUAAGGCAUGGAUGGGACUUAGGAAGCCUUGAUUUUAAGCUAAAUGCUUUAUAAGUCGAAAUGUCCAGUCCUUCCUUAUCUCUAACAAUUUCCUUAAAGAGGUCAUUUAGCCGUGAAAGCCUCAACACUUCACGGUUUGCCAGUAGGCGCUCUUCCACCACUGUCUGACAGAAAUGUCUGUAGCCUGCCUGAUACGGAUUGGCCUCUUCAGAAACCUCUCUUUGUUCCUCUCAGGUAUCGUGUGUAAUUUGCAAAGCAACUGUGGUGAUACAUGGCCUCUGACGCAACAAGAUCUCUUCCAUGGAUUUGAAGCAACAGGUGUUCAUCCUUCUUCCCCUCAGCAGCACGAAGGAGUUGAUCUGCUGUGGUAAACAAAGUUUAUACUCAGGCAUGCAACAGGCAGGAGGUGUGGAGCCCUUUUGGGUUGUUCUGGGCCACUUGAAGAGCGCAAAACCCGAACCUUGGAUGCAGCACCAUCACUGGUAUCUGGCAGCAGUUCUUCUGAACAUUGUAAUGGCACUAAAAUGUAAAUUACAAGUGAUCAACAAUAAAUGGAAAUGAUCUAAAUUCGCAUUGUUUCUAACAAUUGUAAAUAAAUAAAAAAACAUACUUCUGA